GAAAGCUUACUUGCGUGACGAAGGCAACCGAUGACGGCGACGAUGCACGAUGGGGAGAAGGGGAUUGAGCGAUCUGCGAGAGAAAAUCCUUGAGGGAGUUGAAAAAUCAAAGUGGCACUGGGAGAUAAUAACUUUGGGAGAAACUUAAAAGGAAACCGUUGUUGCUGCUUGAGGGAGUCGUUUCUGCUAGCUUCCCUCUCAGUGGCCCCAACCCCACAGCGAGGAGCUCCUUCUUGCCAUGGAGUAGUCCAAUUUUGAUGAAAAUGUAUUCACUCAUGGCAAAUUUUAGAAUCUUCUGUCAAAGAUAUGGCUGCAACUAAAUUCUCCAGGAAAAUUAAUAGUUAAAAAAUAUGGCUUGGAAGCUAUUUACCUGAAAAUCUUGAACAGCUCAUCUAUCUCAAAGUCCCCAGGAAAUAAUGCCCGUUGAUUAACCAUCUCAACAAAUAUACAACCAACUGACCGCACAUCAACAGGAGUAGAGUAAUUGCAGGAUCCAAGCAAUAUUUCUAGAGCUCUGUGGACUGUACCAGAGAGUCAUCACCUAAAAUGAGCAACCAGAAAUCAUCAACCAGGAAACUACUAUAGACAUCAAUCUCGACAUCAACUCAAAUACAAAAGAAGAUGAUCAUAGGCUACAUCAUCCAAGAGGAGAAAAAUUCAGAAAAAUAUUAAUUGAACAAUCGUGUCUCAUACUAAUUGUAUCUAUUUUACAUUGUUUUAAAUUGAACA